UCAGCACAUAGCACACGCCUUUCAACCAUCUGCCACAAAAGAAGAACCAAUGUUGGGGCAAAUCAGGGACAAACAGAGGAAAAAACCCUCCCAGGAAUGGCUUCUUGAAAAUGGAAUUAAAGGCAAAAAUAUGAAGCACCAAGAAAUCAUCACAGCUUCAAGCAGUUAACAUACUGUCAGUUAAUACCAGAGAGAGAGAGAGACUAUCAAAAGCAAGCAAAAAACAAAUACUGGAAUGAAGAUCCCUGGAGAGCUGCAGGUGAAGGAAACCCUUGGCUACUUCCACAUAAGAGGCAAACCGUCAAUGGGAAAAUGAGCAGGAUCCUCUGUGGACUUUCUUUUUGUCCUUGUGGAUUAUUUCCAAGUUAUGGGAUCUUUAAUUCUCAAAUUAGUGGGAGAGUUGUUUGAGUAAAGAGUUCAGGAUCAGGCUGUAGCUUAUUAAAUAAAAAAAGUUAGACAAUCAAGUUGUCUAGUGUUGGUAUUAUAGUAAAUUGGCAAAAUGUUAAAUGUUUUAUUCUCUUUAUGAGAGUGAAGGAAAUGAGAUUCUGAGAAGUAUUGGAGUGGGCAACCCAAUUAGUAUUUGUUUUUCCUGUUCUUGAUAGUGAUCAAAUUUCCCCCUACCUCCCCACACACACAUUUAUGUCAAAAAUAGAACAGAAAGUAAGGAGUUAACUGAGAACGGGGACAAAUAAUAAGAAAAAGAAAAACCUUGAUUAUGCUUUCUGCCCACUAUGUCCAUGGCAUUCAAUAAAAACCAAAGCUCUCAAUUUCUGGGGGGGGGGGGAAAUCGGGGACAAAACCACAGAUAGAAGCAUAAAGACAGCUUUGGAACAACCCACCCUUUGCCACAGUCAUGUUAGGAAUUCAAGACUGGAUAUUCACUUUACUCCGGAAAAUAGUUAAUGGUGACCCAGAGAAAAAUGUUUCAAAGGUCACUCUAAAUCUACAGCUACAGAGCCAGCUAGAUCAGCCUUUACAAGAUCUUACUUGCUUAAAUAUGUUUUCUUUCUGAGAAGCUAGUUUCUGUUUCUUGCAUGCCUCCUUACAUUUAACAUGUAUUCUGAGCAUGAACAAACUAAUCUCUAUUAUAAAAAGUUUCCAUGCCUUUCAUUAUUGUUCAUUAUCAGGGUGUUUGGUUUUUUAUAUUAAACCAUUUGUAUUGGAGUGAAUCUUUUCACUACCAAACUUUUCUAUAAUUGUUAAAGCAGGUUUAACAAUGCCCCCUACUGGAUUCAUAGCUGAAAUGACAAAAAAUAUCAGGUGAUCGAAUAGGGAACACAGUUAAAACCAAGCAAGAUUGAACCGAAUGGUGAGUGGAUAUUAAUUCCCUACAGAGAAGUUCAUAUUUGUGUUUUGUUCAGUCUUCAUAGGUCAAGAUUGUGCGGUUCCUCUAUCAAGCAGCACUACCUCAGUUAGUGGAAACAUUUUGCUCUAAACAGUUAUAUAAAAUAUUAUCCCGUUAAAUAUUCACCAUGUUAAAAGUUACCAAGAAGGUGGCUCUUUAGGUUUCAGACCUUUAAGACACUAUCAGAUUGUUUCACAAUAACUUAGUGAUUCUUAUGGUAAUAAAUUAGGCCCUGAUCCUGCAACUAGAUCCAUGUGGGUGGGUGAUCCCUUGCACCUGUGCAGGGGAGCUCCAAUGAUUUGAUUGGAACUCUGAAUGGGCAGAUGGGUCUGCACAUGUAGAUCUGAUUACAGAAUCAUAGCCUUGGUUGUAGUAUC